rnacentral:rRNA from 1 species
AGGACGAACGCUGGCGGCGCGCCUAACACAUGCAAGUCGAGCGAUAACCAGGGCUUGCCCUGGGGACAGCGGCGAACGGGUGCGUAACACGUGAGCAACCUGCCCCAAAGACCGGGACAACCCGAGGAAACUCGGACUAAUACCGGAUGCCCUCACCGGGCCGCAUGGUCUGGUGAGGAAAUGGAUUCCGCUUUGGGAUGGGCUCGCGGUCUAUCAGCUUGUUGGUGGGGUAACGGCCUACCAAGGCGACGACGGAUAGCUGGUCUGAGAGGACGAUCAGCCACACUGGGACUGAGACACGGCCCAGACUCCUACGGGAGGCAGCAGUGGGGAAUCUUGCGCAAUGGGGGAAACCCUGACGCAGCGACGCCGCGUGCGGGAUGAAGGCCUUCGGGUUGUAAACCGCUUUCAGCAGGGACGAAAUUGACGGUACCUGCAGAAGAAGGCCCGGCCAACUACGCGCCAGCAGCCGC